UUACAAACAAAGCUGCUAUGAACACUAAUGCACACAUCUUUGUAUCAACACCGUAUGAUUUCCUUGCUCCUGGCAGUGUCUGAGAGUGAAUGAGAGCUCCAGGACUCCCCGUUUCACCAUGAUUUGUUUGAAACGCUCUUAAAAGUGAAGCAGUUCACCGUGAAUAGUCACCGUCUACAGGAACCAAAAAGUUUACUUUCACUCAUGGAUGGAGGGGGCCUGAGGAGCCGCCAUUCUGCACGUCAGUGUGUGCUCAAGAGCGAGCCCAGGAGAUGGGGAUGGAUAUACAGAGCUACGGGGGUGAGGCAGAAAGACCGCAGGGUUGGGUCCAGGGUUCUAGCUUGGUAAGUGACCUUGAACAAGAGACUGGACGUCUGUGGUCCCUAGGGAAGCUUCCUGCUCAAACAGUCUCUGUGACCCUAAAAAUAUUCUAGAAGCUGUUUGGAUUUUUAGCAAAUCCACUCUAUUUUCUCCUUUUCAUACUAAUUGUGUCUUGCUCUCUAAAGUGGAGUUCAAGAAAGCGCUAAAAAAAUGUAGAUAAUUAAGAGUUUUUAUUUAUUUGGGCACUAAUUAAAUAAAGGUUUCACUGCGUAUCAGCGGUUGUGCUACUGGAUGAAUGCCCAUGUCUUAAAAUAACGCAAAACUUUAAGACAAGCAUAAAGAAUAAGCCUCGCAAACAAUACCCCUCAACGGUCGUUAAGGCCUUGUAUGUUCUAGUACUCAGUACACAUGGUGUCAUUUGGUCCCCACAACGAUCCCAUGAGGAUUGAGGGCCUGAUAUUAACAACACUUUACAGAUGAAACAACAGGCUUGGAGUGAUUAACAGACUCUUCCAAAAUCGCAGAGGUAAUAAGUGACAGAAUUGAGACUUGAAGCCAGAGGUGAUGUGACCUCCAGCCCUGUUGCUCUGUAAAUCCAUCCAGUCUGCUCGUGUUGUUAACAAACAUUGAAGCAACUGCCGAGGAGGGGAAUGCACUGAAGCCUGCAGUCGGAUCUGGGUGGAAGUCCAGCUCUGCCUCUUACAAGCUGUCCAAGCUAUGCCAACUAUCUGAGCUGCUGUUUGUUCAUUUGAAAAACAGGAACUAGGACACAUACCUCUCAAGGUUGUUCUAAGGGUGCAAUUCCAUGAGCUAAUAUAUGGAAGACAGCACCUUGCACUCUGACGUGGACAGUAACCCAGACCAGAGUUCACCUCUCUCAGCAAACAUCCCACCCUCCAGGGUGGAGGGGUGCUUAGUGCUUCAAGAAGAGUUUGCUUUCUACAAAUGGACUAAUCAUAAACACACAAACACAAAAUUGCCAUCCAUGUUAAUCGGAUUGGGUGGAAAAAAAAUCAGUAAAAUUAUAAAGCAACAGUUUCAAGAAUUGUUAUAAUGAAUAACUGAAUUUUAUAUUAAAAUUAACGUUUUUAGUUGAA